rnacentral:lncRNA from 1 species
CAUAAGUAGCACGACAACCCUGAUGGCAACACGUUGAUGGAUGAUCAUGGUGUGGAGCCGGUAACAAGAAGAUCGUGCCGGUGCUUUGGUGAUGGAGAUCAAGAAGCACGUGAUGAUGGCCAUAUCAUGUCACUUAUGAAUUGCAUGUGAUGUUAAUCCUUUCCUGCACCUUAUUUUGCUUAGAACGACGGUAGCAUUAUGAGGUGAUCUCUCACUAAAAUUUCAAG